AUGCUUUCUGCUGGUAUGUGUCCUUGUGUGCCACAUGAUUGGGCAGAAAACUGGGGAGAAAGAGACCAGUGGGGCAGACAAGACACAGCAGCAGUCAGCCAGAGACCAGCGGGGCAGACAAGACACAGCAGCAGUCAGCCAGAGACCAGCGGGGCAGACAAGACACAGCAGCAGUCAGCCAGAGACCAGCGAGACAGACAAGACACAGCAGCAGUCAGCCAGAGACCAGCAAGACAGACAAGACACAGCAGCAGUCAGCCAGAGACCAGCGAGACAGACAAGACACAGCAGCAGUCAGCCAGAGACCAGCGGGGCAGACAAGACACAGCAGCAGUCAGCCAGAGACCAGCCGGGCAGACAAGACACAGCAGCAGUCAGCCAGAGACCCGUGGGGCAGACAAGACACAGCAGCAGUCAGCCAGAGACCAGCGGGGCAGACAAGACACAGCAGCAGUCAGCCAGAGACCAGCGAGACAGACAAGACACAGCAGCAGUCAGCCAGAGACCAGCAAGACAGACAAGACACAGCAGCAGUCAGCCAGAGACCAGCGAGACAGACAAGACACAGCAGCAGUCAGCCAGAGACCAGCGGGGCAGACAAGACACAGCAGCAGUCAGCCAGAGACCCGUGGGGCAGACAAGCCACAGCAGCAGUCAGCCAGAGACCAGCGGGGCAGACAAGACACAGCAGCAGUCAGCCAGAGACCAGUGGGGCAGACAAGACACAGCAGUCAGCCAGAGACAAGUGGGGCAGACAAGAAACAGCAGCAGUCAGCCAGAGACCAGCGAGACAGACAAGACACAGCAGCAGUCAGCCAGAGACCAGCGGGGCAGACAAGCCACAGCAGCAGUCAGCCAGAGACCCGUGGGGCAGACAAGACACAGCAGCAGUCAGCCAGAGACCAGCGGGGCAGACAAGACACAGGAGCAGUCAGCCAGAGACCAGUGGGGCAGACAAGGCACAACAGUCAGCCAGAGACCAGUGGGGCAGACAAGACACAGCAGCAGUCAGCCAGAGACCAGCGGGACAGACAAGCCACAGCAGCAGUCAGCCAGAGACCGGUGGGGCAGACAAGACACAGCAGCAGUCAGCCAGAGACCAGCGGGGCAGACAAGACACAGCAGCAGUCAGCCAGAGACCAGCGAGACAGACAAGACACAGCAGCAGUCAGCCAGAGACCAGUGGGGCAGACAAGACACAGCAGCAGUCAGCCAGAGACCAGCAAGACAGACAAGACACAGCAGCAGUCAGCCAGAGACCAGUGGGGCAGACAAGUGUGGCUGACUGCUGCUGUAUAA
rnacentral:lncRNA from 1 species